rnacentral:rRNA from 1 species
AUGGAUCACAUGAUGCAUCUACACCAGCACCAGCAAUGCGGCGACCAACCAGAUGGCGCAAUGGUUACUACUGGCACGCGCAGCAGCGCUAGUGCCAGUGUCUCGCAGGUCGCCUUCACGCUCGCCGCCGUUGCUUUCCUCUCAUUGAUCUCAUCGUCUUUGGGCGGCGCCGCCGCUGCCGGGGCUUCUUCGUCCUCUCUCCCUUCGGGUGCCGCCCUAUCAGCUCGCCUUGCGGCCUUGUGCGGCUUUGUCACCACCAAGAAGGCUCUCUUCGUCCUCUCCAAUGCCAUCUUCCUCUUCCUCGCCGCCGAUUGCCGCUGCUUCUUCCCCGGCGCCUCCAGCACGGCCACCCUAUCCAAGAGUGACGAUGAUGUCGUCACAGCUUCUGAAUUUCCGCCAUGUACCGUUCAAGCUCAAGCAUGUGCUUCUUGUCGAUGGAGCCUUUGCUACAGUAGCUGCACCAAAGGUGCAUCGGCGAGUUGUUCGGGCGAGCAAGGGAUUAAACGAGAGGAGGUGCCGGUGUCGUCGCAGUUCUUGUCAGCUAGGCUCGAGGAAGACGAUGCCAACAUCGUCGCCUUGGAGACGGAGCAAACCUGCGAUGGAGUAGCUGAGGAGGAGCUAGAGAAGCUAGAGAUCGACGAGCUCAAUAGGAAGUUUGAGGAUUUCAUCCAAAGUAGAAGGGUUAAAUGGCUCAAGGAGGAGGAGCAAGUAUUGCAAUACCAGCAACAGGUCGUCUAA